CAGGUUGAUCCUGCCGGACCUGACUGCUAUCUGAUUGGUACUAAGCCAUGCGAGUCGUUGUACAAUACAAGGCGGACUGCUCAGUAACACGUAGUUAACUUAACCUAUGGAUGGGAAUAACCUCGGGAAACUGAGAAUAAUACCCAAUGGGCCACAGUGCCUGGAAUGGCCUGUGGUUGAAAUGAUUUAUCGCCGUAGGAUAGGACUGCGGCCUAUCAGCUUGUUGGUGAGGUAAUGGCCCACCAAGGCUAUAACAGGUACGGGCUCUGAGAGGAGGGGCCCGGAGAUGGGUACUGAGACACGGACCCAGGCCCUAUGGGGCGCAGCAGGCGAGAAACCUUUGCAAUGUGCGAAAGCACGACAAGGUUAAUCCGAGUGUCUCCUGCUAAAGGAGUCUUUUGUCAGUUGUAGAAUCACUGGUGAAUAAGGGGUGGGCAAGUUCUGGUGUCAGCCGCCGCGGUAAAACCAGCACCUCGAGUGGUCAGGAGGUUUAUUGGGCCUAAAGCAUCCGUAGCCGGCUGCAUAAGUUUUCGGUUAAAUCUAUGCGCUUAACGUA
rnacentral:rRNA from 1 species